AAUGUUUAACGGCCGCGGUAUUUUGACCGUGCGAAGGUAGCGUAAUCACUUGUCUUUUAAAUGAAGACCUGUAUGAAAGGCAUCACGAGAGUCUAACUGUCUCUAUUUUCUAAUCAAUGAAAUUGAUCUUCCCGUGCAGAAGCGGGAAUACCACCAUAAGACGAGAAGACCCUAUGGAGCUUUAAACACUUAAAUCAAUUAUGUACCUUUAAAUUACCCAAGGGUAUAAUCACUAAUACAAUAUUCCUGACUUAACUGUUUUUGGUUGGGGUGACCAAGGGGAAAAGAAAAUCCCCCUUAUCGACUGAGUACUCAGUACUUAAAAACUAGAGCAACAGCUCUGAUUGAUAGAAUAUCUAUCGAAAAAUGACCCAGAACUUUCUGAUCAAUGAACCAAGUUACCCUAGGGAUAACAGCGCAAUCCUUUCCCAGAGUCCCUAUCGCCGAAAGGGUUUACGACCUCGAUGUUGGAUCAGGACAUCCUAAUGGUGCAACCGCUAUUAAGGGUUCGUUUGUUCAACGAUUAACAGUCCUACG
rnacentral:rRNA from 1 species